rnacentral:rRNA from 1 species
GACGAACGCUGGCGGCGUGCUUAACACAUGCAAGUCGAGCGGCGCGGCGAAGGGGUGAGUAAAGCGUGAGUAACUGCCCCCCUCUCUGGGAUAACAGUUGGAAACGGCUGCUAAUACCGGAUAGUGGGGGAUGGCUCGCGUCCUAUCAGAUUGGUGGUGGGGUAGUGGCCUACCAAGGCGAGGACGGGUAGCCGGCCUGAGAGGGCGACCGGCCACAUUGUGCUGAGAUACGGCCCAAACUGCUACGGGAGGCAGCAGUGGGGAAUAUUGCACAAUGGGGCAAACCAUGAUGCAGCGACGCCGCGUGCGGGAUGACGGCCUUCGGGUUGGAAACCGCUUUCAGCCAUGACGCGGUAGUGGCAGAAGAAGCACCGGCUAACUACGUGCCAGCAGCCGCGGUAAUUC